UUUAAGAGCCCAGGAUGGUCAGUUACAGGAGGAAACUGACAUACAGAGAAGGGAGGGGCCCAAAGGUGUCACCCUUUGUCAGUAUCAGAGUCAUCACUUAAAGCUGAGUCUGUAAGAACCCAAUGGAAGGUUGAGAAAAGCGGUUCCAGGAUUCUCUGGAAUGCCUCUGUGGAGGCUCUAACUAUUGUGUGAAACAAAAUAUCUAGGGGACUUCCAUUCCAGCUUUGAACCCAGCGGUGGGACACAGGUGUCACAGAGCCACGUGUCUGACACCCUGUCCCUGUGUCCCAGUGCAGCCGGUUUCACUGUGAGUGUCUCUAGCAUCAAAGAGCCCGAGCCAGUGCAACAUUGCCACAGAGGGAGGAGCUGGGCAAAAUAAAAGUACUCCAGAUUGAAUAAACCUUCCUCCUGAGACAGAAUGUGGAGGAGGCGGCACACAACUGAACAGAAAGGGAACCAAGCCAGUUCCAGCACUGAGUCACAAGAUGGAGAGUGUUUUCACAAUUCCCCCCUUGCUGCCCUAAACACCUCCCUUCACAAGAGGGAAUCAGUUUAGUAGAUGGCACAAGGUCGGGUUGUCCCAGCUUCUUCACACACCCUACAAGAAAUGCUUCAGAAGAAUACUGGGAAUAGAGUUUUUCUUGAAACAGUGGCAAUGUCAGCCUCGGCAUCUCUCCUCAGAGAGGGGGAGUUCCAAAUGUUAGUCCACAUAAGCUUCUCCAGUCAAACCACAGAGAAGAGAUUUCAGGUUGAAUAGAAUUCUCAAGAGUAGAAAAUACAAGCAUUAAAUCCAGAAUGAAAAAUGUAAUUCACUCCCUCGUGACAUGAUAAAGGGGAUAUGUGACAGGGCUGAAUAAAAUCUCAAAAAAGAAGAAAGGAGAGUCAGCAAUAAAUAACUCCAUGUCUGAGAAAGUGGCAAACAAGCUAUUUGGGGGAAAAUUCCUUAUUUGGAAAAAAAUGCUAAGAAAACUGGAAUGGCCUCUGGAAGGAAAUGAGGCUUAGACCUUAAGCCUACACCACACUCUACUACACAUUCUAUAAGGACAUUAUUAAAGAUCAUACUAUAAGAAA